UACGUAGGUGGCAAGCGUUGUCCGGAAUUAUUGGGCGUAAAGCGCGCGCAGGCGGUUCCUUAAGUCUGAUGUGAAAGCCCCCGGCUCAACCGGGGAGGGUCAUUGGAAACUGGGGAACUUGAGUACUGAAGAGGAAAGCGGAAUUCCACGUGCAGCGGUGAAAUGCGUAGAGAUGUGGAGGAACACCAGUGGCGAAGGCGGCUUUCUGGUCAGUAACUGACGCUGAGGCGCGAAAGCGUGGGGAGCAAACAGG
rnacentral:rRNA from 1 species